CCGCAGCAUUGGAGGGCGGGGACGGCAGAGGUUGUCGGAGUCACAGACCCCCUAAACCAGCACCUCCAACAGGCUCGAGGCUCCCUAUGUACCCAGUCAAGGUCACAGCUGCAGGCCUGGGAAGACAGGUCUCCUCGGGACAAGCCACGAAGGAGGCAGCUUUCUGCGGGAGGGACCAGCCUGCCCGAGAUUAGACUUCUGUUGAGCGUUUCUCUACGCAAAGCCGCCGCCCAGGGGAGCGGGAGCUGGUCCGGGCUCUCAGCGGACGCGGGUCGCAGAAAGGGGUGGCGCGCCAUCUCGUGGCCAGCAGAGGGACGACAGUUUGGCCACUGGCUUCAGCCCAAGUCCUUCAAAGAUGAGUUUGAGAACCAAGACGCAGAAAGCAAGACAGCGGCUUCAAGGCCGAGUCAUCCUGUUAACACGGAGGGACGCUACGUAGCUGCCCCGCGGCCAGGCCUCGGUUCUUUCCCGGGCUCUCGCUUGCUCCCAGACUGAACACAGCUGGCACAGACAGGGGGUCGUGAAGUGUGGGUUUUGCUCCAGUGUCCAUUGGUCAUGGUAGCCUGGAACUCCUGCCCCUACUGAGUGUCUCUGAGGAAGUCUCCUUGAGUCUUGGUUUCCUCAUUUGCAAUCUGGGAACAGGUAAGAGUUCCUUCCAUCUUGGGUUGUUGGUAGGACCAGGUGAAUCAGUGCAUCAGGGCUGGCAUAUAGGUGUGAGAUAAAUGUUUGCUAUCAUAAUCUGAAUUGCUGUUGACUCAUUCAAAUAAAUCCAAGGGAAUAAACA
rnacentral:lncRNA from 1 species